UACGGAGGGAGCUGGCGUUGUUCGGAAUUACUGGGCGUCAAGCGCACGUAGGCGGCAAUUCAAGUCAGGGGUGAAAUCCCGGGGCUCACCCCCGGAACUGCCCUUGAAACUGGAUCGCUAGAAUCUUGGAGAGGCGAGUGGAAUUCCGAGUGUAGAGGUGAAAGUCGUAGAUAUUCGGAAGAACACCAGUGGCGAAGGCGACUCGCUGGACAAGUAUUGACGCUGAGGUGCGAAAGCGUGGGGAGCAAACAGG
rnacentral:rRNA from 1 species